UGGGUGGAGUGGAAAGAACUAC
rnacentral:siRNA from 1 species